GGUAAGCAGCUAUUCAUUAGUUUGGUUCACCGAAUCCUCCAUUCGACAGAAUUUCAUUCAUCUCCCAUUCCGCCUCCUCCUGUAAUAGCCAUUCCCUACCUGAUCUAAAGAAUAGCAAUAUAGAGCCUCCACCGAAUAAGAAAAAAAACAUAACCUCCCAUUCUUGCCCUUUACCACUCUUCCUCAGCAAACACCUCAAGCCACCACACCCCAACCCUAUCUCCUAGUUCUCGUUUAGUUAUUCUCAUCCCACAACCAUCAUCGACAAAGAUCUCGACAUUGUAAAAAGCGUCCCCAAAGUUAAACGAGCUCACAUGCUCAAACUUGUGAUACUUUGGAGGACAACAUUGGUGGUCAAUCAUGUGUGGUCAAUCAUGUAUGCUCAGCCCAUCACAAGACAAUAUCAUGGACACUGUGAGAGUCAUUUGGGUUGACACUGAAGGAAAUAUAGCAUCAGGAGCCUCCAGCGGUGGUAUUGCACUGAAGGUCUCUGUUCGUGUGGGAUUAGCAGCAAUGUAUGGUGCAGGCUGUUGGGCCUCCUCAAAAGGACCCUUUGGGGCUCCUUUCAUAGUUGGUUGUUGUGUUAGCGGUGCUGGAGAAUACCUAAUGAAAAUAUUUACAGCUCGGGAGUGCUAUGCCUCAUCGUCACUGUAAGAUUCUUUUGGAUUUAUAUGCUUAACAGGAAUUUGCUCCCUUUACAUGAAGAAAGUUUCAGUUAUCCUAAAUGGACCUUAUUGAGUUAGGUUGUCUCUGCUUGUAUCUCUUUCUAUUAAUACAAAAGUAGUAUAAUAGGAUACGAUCUUUUGAAACAUUAAUUGUCUACUUGAUUCCGAGCAUGGGUGUUGAAAUCGGUAACGGUCUAUGCUUGGUGAGAACUAGAAGUGAUAAAUCAUAUAAUAGAAGUUGAAUUUGUUCGAUCUUAAAUUAUUUGCUUAAAUUCGAAGCUAUAGAAAUUGUAGCUGCGUACUCAUCCUUGUCUUUUGGGAUAGGAUAUUUUGGAAGUGGCAUGGAAAGGCCUAAGGUUUCUAUUCUUAGGAGAAGUAAACAACAGAAUAGAAGUGGAAUCGAUCAUUUUGAAGCUCGAGUUGAUGUUUCUACAUGACUGGUUUUUGUUUAACAUGUUUUUUUUAAGGAUAAAUUAUCAUAUCAAAUCAAAUCUCUCCAAUUUACUUGGUUUC